rnacentral:rRNA from 1 species
AUGGUAGAUGAGCAACAUGUUUUUGAUCUUGAAUCCCCUUUUAAAUUCAGAUUGACACUUCAAUGGCUCAUUGAGAUGAAAGUGCCAACGAAUGAUUCCCACGGGAAGAAGCAGUUUCCAAACAAGGAAGGUUGUUGCCAUGAAGAUGGGAGAAACAUCCUGGUCUAUGAGUCCAUGAUGAAUGGGAUUCUGAAAGAGCAUCUUCAUGGUAAUUUUUCUUAUCCCCUACGGUAG